GACGAACGCUGGCGGCGUGCCUAAUACAUGCAAGUAGAACGCUGAAGAGAGGAGCUUGCUCUUCUUGGAUGAGUUGCGAACGGGUGAGUAACGCGUAGGUAACCUGCCUUGUAGCGGGGGAUAACUAUUGGAAACGAUAGCUAAUACCGCAUAACAAUGGAUGACACAUGUCAUUUAUUUGAAAGGGGCAAUUGUUCCACUACAAGAUGGACCUGCGUUGUAUUAGCUAGUAGGUGAGGUAAUGGCUCACCUAGGCGACGAUACAUAGCCGACCUGAGAGGGUGAUCGGCCACACUGGGACUGAGACACGGCCCAGACUCCUACGGGAGGCAGCAGUAGGGAAUCUUCGGCAAUGGGGGCAACCCUGACCGAGCAACGCCGCGUGAGUGAAGAAGGUUUUCGGAUCGUAAAGUUCUGUUGUAAGUCAAGAACGGGUGUGAGAGUGGAAAGUUCACACUGUGACGGUAGCUUACCAGAAAGGGACGGCUAACUACGUG
rnacentral:rRNA from 1 species